GUUAUGACCAUUUGAACAUAUACUAUUCAUUUGCUCAAUUCUGCUCAGAAUCAGAGCACCAAUUCCGGUUUCAACAUAAUUUUAGACCAACUUGUGGUUACUUUUUGGGUAAGGUUCAUUUAUAAAAAAUGUAGCAUUAUGACUUUAAUUUCAUUUCCAAUUAGCAUCACACCAAUUAAAGCAACACAAUUCAACUUAUAACCUCUUAAAUGGGCAAAGGUGAGACUGUCUAGAAUUCAUCAAUUUCAUAACCAUAACUCAUCUCAAUUCCAAUAAUAAAUUCGCAAUUAUAUGUGCACCAAAU
rnacentral:misc_RNA from 1 species